GACGAACGCUGGCGGCGUGCCUAAUACAUGCAAGUCGAACGCAGUGGGGACGGGUGAGUACCACGUGGGUAACCUCCCAUCAGAGGGGAUAACACUUGGAAACAGGUGCUAAACCGAUACUGAUGGAUGGACCCGCGGUGCAUUAGCUAGUUGGUGAGGUAACGGCUCACCAAGGCCACGAUGCAUAGCCGACCUGAGAGGGUGUGAGGCAACCGGGGGACUGAGACACGGCCCAGACUCCAACGGGCGGCAGAAGUAGGGAAUCUUCGGCAAUGGACGAAAGUCUGACCGAGAAACGCCGCGUGAUUGAAGAAGGUUUUCGGAUCGUAAAACUCUGUUGUUAGAGAAGCGGUAUCUAACCAGAAAGCCACGGCUAACUACGGGCCAGCAGCCGCGGUAAUUC
rnacentral:rRNA from 1 species